CUUCCUUCUGGAGUAUUUUGUGAGCCCUGAUCCCUGGCAUGGUUCAGCCAUGAUGGGCCUGUCUUCUACUGAUACAGCUAUGAAAGGUUGAGAAGGGUUGUUGCUUGAACACUCUGGAAGACACUGUUAGAAGGAUCAAAAUCCUAAUAAGGAUAACAAGAGGCAUUUGUUGUGGAGCACUGUUCUGCACAGAGGUAUUGUCAUCAUCCUGCUGACUUAGUGGAAGGAAGAUGUACUGAGACAGCAGAGUUCCCUCCUGGAGUAGAUAGGACUGUUCCUAUAACAGGAAGGUUGAAUGACAAAGCUCAAGCAAGACUGACUGCGUCUCUGGGAAGAUAUGAGCUUUUUCUGGGCCCAUUCAACCUGCUUGCUUCUGGCAUUCUGCAACACCAUGUCCUUUCCAAAGCACGAUUGCAUCCAUUUGGUAUUUCAGAGUUCAUAUUCUGCAUUUUGAAUGUUGAGUGCUAAUGAGCUGUUUCCAAAUCCUCCGGUGCCACCAGAGAGUCACUUCUUGGCAACUGCUCUGCUGAAAGACGGAGCUGAGGCUUUCACAUGUGAUAUAAUUUACACCAGGCUAAGUGCUAUUUAAGCAUAGUUUGUGUGCCUGAAUUUUGCAGACUUUUAAUGCUAAUUUUAUCAUGAGAAAUAGGGGGAACCUUGGAAACCCAAGCGUUUUUGGUUGCUGCAAAGUUAGGAACAUCCUGGUGAAUUAUUUUUACCUUCUGCAGCCAGAACUGUGGCCUGAACUGCAGAUCAAAGAAGAGCAGCACUUUAGUUUAUCUGGCAUAAAAGUCUACGUUAGCCUAAAUAGACAAGUGGGAAAAGAUAUUGAGGCCCAGACUCCACAGCAGCUGUGAGAUGCAAUUUUAAGAAAAUGGAGAUCACCCGCAAUGUGUUAAAGGACUGGGCAAUGAGAUCCACACUAAAAUAUGUACCUGCUUCUGAUCAGCACCUCUGUUGUCUAUGUUGUACGCAUGCAGAUAGCACUCUUCUUAACCAUCAAGUCAUCUAGCUCAGAUGAUGGUCACUUAAGGAAACGUCAAAUAAUGGAGAGAUGUAUAUACAGUUGCUGCAGCAGGGAGGAAAGCAACAAAACAGGAAUGGAAAUUGGCAGGAGGAGGUCUGAAAGGCCACAAGUUUCCAGCUCAGAAAGACGGUGGGAGAGGAAGUCGGUGAGUGCAAAAGGAUUCCCUCUCUCCCCACCUCUCAGCCCCCACCCUCUGUCCUUCCUCCACACCCCUCCCAGGGAGAUGGGAGAAGAAACUUGGCAAGCCAUCUUGUCGCCAAUCAAUCUGUGGUGUAACAAUUAGCACUUAAGCAGCACUCAAGCUAAACACAGGCUCAGAAAACACUUAAAAAGAAAAAAAAAAAAGGGGGGGGGGAAAAAAUAACACAACCCACCAACACAACAAGAGGGGAAAGCUGGAACAGAUCAAUGCCGCGCUGAGCAGCAGGCACCUAAUACCACAUUAUUGACGAGGACGAUAGCGCUUUAAGUGUGCGCUCUCCACGCUGAGCAAUUAGCCAGCAGGACCUCUGCAGCGAAGGCAGCUCCACCGCAAGAACGCACCCUCCCCUGCUGCCCACCGCUUCCCCCAAGAGGUGUUUGAUGACAGCUUCAUUUGUUAGCGUGAUUCCAAGAGCUGGUGGCGCCGGCAUCAUUCCAUUACGGAAGGGAGCGCGAGGGGAGGUUGGG